AUUGAACGCUGGCGGCAGGCCUAACACAUGCCAGUCGAACGGUAACAGGAAGAAGCUUGCUUCUUUGCUGACGAGUGGCGGACGGGUGAGUAAUGUCUGGGAAACUGCCUGAUGGAGGGGGAUAACUACUGGAAACGGUAGCUAAUACCGCAUAACGUCGCAAGACCAAAGAGGGGGACCUUCGGGCCUCUUGCCAUCGGAUGUGCCCAGAUGGGAUUAGCUAGUAGGUGGGGUAACGGCUCACCUAGGCGACGAUCCCUAGCUGGUCUGAGAGGAUGACCAGCCACACUGGAACUGAGACACGGUCCAGACUCCUACGGGAGGCAGCAGUGGGGAAUAUUGCACAAUGGGCGCAAGCCUGAUGCAGCCAUGCCGCGUGUAUGAAGAAGGCCUUCGGGUUGUAAAGUACUUUCAGCGGGGAGGAAGGGAGUAAAGUUAAUACCUGUGCUCAUUGACGUUACCCGCAGAAGAAGCACCGGCUAACUCCGUG
rnacentral:rRNA from 1 species